GACGAACGCUGGCGGCGUGCUUAACACAUGCAAGUCGAACGGAAAGGCCCUGCUUUUGUGGGGUGCUCGAGUGGCGAACGGGUGAGUAACACGUGAGUAACCUGCCCUUGACUUUGGGAUAACUUCAGGAAACUGGGGCUAAUACCGGAUAGGAGCUCCUGCUGCAUGGUGGGGGUUGGAAAGUUUCGGCGGUUGGGGAUGGACUCGCGGCUUAUCAGCUUGUUGGUGGGGUAGUGGCUUACCAAGGCUUUGAUGGUAGCCGGCCUGAGAGGGUGACCGGCCACAUUGGGACUGAGAUACGGCCCAGACUCCUACGGGAGGCAGCAGUGGGGAAUAUUGCACAAUGGGCGGAAGCCUGAUGCAGCAACGCCGCGUGCGGGAUGACGGCCUUCGGGUUGUAAACCGCUUUCGCCUGUGACGAAGCGUGAGUGACGGUAAUGGGUAAAGAAGCACCGGCUAACUACGUG
rnacentral:rRNA from 1 species